GACGUAGGGCGCGAGCGUUGUCCGGAUUUAUUGGGCGUAAAGAGCUCGUAGGCGGCUUGUUGCGUCGACUGUGAAAACCCGCGGCUUAACCGCGGGCCUGCAGUUGAUGCGGGCAGGCUAGAGUUCGGUAGGGGAGACUGGAAUUCCUGGUGUAGCGGUGAAAUGCGCAGAUAUCAGGAGGAACACCGGUGGCGAAGGCGGGUCUCUGGGCCGAUACUGACGCUGAGGAGCGAAAGCGUGGGGAGCGAACAGG
rnacentral:rRNA from 1 species